rnacentral:rRNA from 1 species
GAUGAACGCUGGCGGCGUGCCUAACACAUGCAAGUCGAACGACAGGACGCUAAGCUUGUUCUUUUGAUGUUAGCGGCUGACGGGCGUGUAACACGUGCAUCACCUUCUUCUAUUUCGUGGAUAAUUACGUAAAACCGGUUCUUAUACUACAUAAUAUUUUGAACCGCUUUGUUCAAAAGAUAUUCACGGCUUUGCUGUCUCUUUUAGCUGGUUCCGCGCUGGAUUAGCUAGUUGGUAAGGUAACGGCUUACCAAGGCUACGAUGCAUAGCCGAGCUGAGAGGAUGAUAGGCCACACUGGAACUGAGACACGGUCCAGACUCCUACGGGAGGCAGCAGUAGGGAAUAUUAGGCAAUGGGCGAAAGCCUGACGGAGCAACACCGCGUGAGUGAUGAAGGCCUUCGGAUCGUAAAGCUCUGUUAUUGGGAAAGAACAGAUGUGGAAGUAAAUGUGGACAUCUUGACGGUACCUAAUGAAAAAGCAACGGCUAACUACGUG